rnacentral:tRNA from 1 species
ACACUGGUGGUUCAGUGGUAGAAUUCUUGCCUUCCAUGCAGGAGGCCCAGGUUCGAUUCACAACCAAUGCA